UGGGGGAUAUUGCACAAUGGGCGAAAGCCUGAUGCAGCGACGCCGCGUGGGGGAUGAAGGCUUUCGGGUUGUAAACCUCUUUCGCUAUCGAACAAGGCCCGCUUAGGGUGGGUUGAGGGUAGGUGGAGAAGAAGCGCCGGCUAACUACGUGCCAGCAGCCGCGGUAAUACGUAGGGCGCGAGCGUUGUCCGGUAUUAUUGGGCUUAAAGGGCUUGUAGGCGGCUUGUUGCGCCUGCUGUGUAAACGCGGGGCUUAACUUCGCGCGUGCAGUGGGUACGGGCAGGCUUGAGUGUGGUAGGGGUGACUGGAAUUCCAGGUGUAGCGGUGGAAUGCGCAGAUAUCUGGAGGAGCACCGAUGGCGAAGGCAGGUCACUUGGCCAUUACUGACGCUGAGGAGCGAAAGCAUGGGUAGCGAACAGG
rnacentral:rRNA from 1 species